rnacentral:rRNA from 1 species
UACGUAGGGGGCUAGCGUUGUCCGGAAUCACUGGGCGUAAAGGGCGCGUAGGUGGCCCGGUCAGUUCGUGGUGAAAGCGCGGGGCUCAACCCUGCGUCGGCCAUGAAUACUGCCGCGGCUGGAGCACUGUAGAGGCAGGCGGAAUUCCGGGUGUAGCGGUGGAAUGCGUAGAGAUCCGGAAGAACACCGGAGGCGAAGGCGGCUUGCUGGGCUCGGUCUGACGCUGAGGCGCGAAAGCGUGGGGAGCGAACAGG